GUCACCUACGGGGCGCAGCAGUGAGGAAUAUUGGUCAAUGGCCGAGAGGCUGAACCAGCCAAGUCGCGUGAGGGAAGACUGCCCUAUGGGUUGUAAACCUCUUUUGUCAGGGAGCAACGCCGGCUACGUGUAGCCGGACUGAGAGUACCUGAAGAAAAAGCAUCGGCUAACUCCGUGCCAGCAGCCGCGGUAAUACGGAGGAUGCGAGCGUUAUCCGGAUUUAUUGGGUUUAAAGGGUGCGUAGGCGGAAUGCCAAGUCAGCGGUAAAAUCG
rnacentral:rRNA from 1 species